CUGCAGUAGGUACUGAUAGCUGAAUUAAGAAUGGAGGGGCAUUCGGUAAUUCUUAGUUUUUUUCUAAAUCUGAUUUAUAUUAAUGUGAUUUCAGAUGAAUAAUUUAAGUAAAUCAAUCUCUAGUAGGUACUGAUAGCUGAAUUAAGAAUGGAGGGGCAUUCGUAGGGGCCCCUACUAUCCAAUAGCCUUAGCCCAUGUUGCGCUGCUAUCUCCUCUGCACCACUGCACCGGGAACCCUAUGAUGGGUGGGAGUCAAGUUCCGGCAAUAGGAUUAUCGCCAUCUCCAAAACGGCACAACUAGAAUUCUGGGCCUUGCUGCAACUAUCUCCUCCACCAUAGAAUAGUAGGGGCCUCAUCUUGCCUAAAAUAGUAGGGCAUUCAGAUGCGAGGAGGUAGAAUUGAGCCCUACAAUUCUAUGGCGGGUUACUUUUCCAGUAUCAUUGGGGGUGCCGCCUUUUGGUUGCUUGCCUUCACAAAUCACUUGGUGGAAAAUAAGUUGCUAGGUCUUUCAUUACAAAGAUCAUAGCCUUAGUAGUGAAGUCCAGGCUCAGUUUUCCCCAUCUUUUAGUUGGUUAUUUGAAUGCAUAUGAUAAGUAGUAUGACAUCAUUAAAUCUCCCUCUAAAUAUGGUAAUAUUUUAACUUCCCCUUCUACUCAACACAAUGACCCGGUCUUUUCUUAAAUGAAGAUGUUUGAAUCUUAGGAAUGUUUUGUUGCAGGAAGAGUUAUUGUGCAACCCAGAUAUCCCAACAUGUGCAGACAUUUCUAAUUAUGUCUUUUGGGAUAGCUUCGACCCCACGACUGCAGUUUACAGAAUCAUGGGCAACGAUUUAUUCUAGCAGGCUCUGAGUCUAGUAGCAUAAAUGCUAUUUGCAUUGAAGAAAAAAUCUCACUUGAAACUUAUUUGUAAUAAAUGAGCACAUGAAUGCUUUCUAUAAGCUUUUUACA